rnacentral:rRNA from 1 species
ACGGGAGGCAGCAGUGGGGGAUAUUGCACAAUGGGGGAAACCCUGAUGCAGCGACGCCGCGUGAGUGAAGAAGUAUUUCGGUAUGUAAAGCUCUAUCAGCAGGGAAGAAACUGACGGUACCUGACUAAGAAGCACCGGCUAAAUACGUGCCAGCAGCCGCGGUAAUACGUAUGGUGCAAGCGUUAUCCGGAUUUACUGGGUGUAAAGGGAGCGUAGACGGAUAGGCAAGUCUGGAGUGAAAGCCCGGGGCUCAACCCCGGGACUGCUUUGGAAACUGUUUAUCUAGAGUGCUGGAGAGGUAAGUGGAAUUCCUAGUGUAGCGGUGAAAUGCGUAGAUAUUAGGAGGAACACCAGUGGCGAAGGCGGCUUACUGGACAGUAACUGACGUUGAGGCUCGAAGGCGUGGGGAGCAAACAGGAUUAGAUACCCGUA